AUCGCCACCCCGCACGGGCCCGGCCAAUGAGAGGAGGCGAGAGGGCCUGGGGGAGCACUGCGGGAGGGCACUCGGGAUGCCCCAGCCAGGGUCCGGUCCACGGGGACACGCGGCUCUAGGAGCCCCUGCUGCCCUGGGGUCGGAAGACCUCCCCUAGGGAAAGUGAGCCUGGGACUUAGUGCACAGCUGGGGUGGGGCGGGGCGGGCAGGCCUGGAGGACCUCUCCUCCCCACCAGUCUCCCGGCCUCUGGCCUAGCUGGCGCUAUCAGCCCAGACAGGAAUCGUGAGCCUUCCGGGUUUCCACAGAAAACACCCUUGGGGACAUCAUUACAAUAUAGAAUCUAUGCCUUACAAAAUACAUACAAAGUUUGACGGGAGCAAGCCAAGGCCAGACUGGGAGCUGUACAACUGUAAUACUUCACUGCAGUGAUCCAGGAACAUGAGACACGGCCUUUGGAAGCAUGUUGGGAGCUACGUUUGUUUCUCUAAAAAAGUUCCUAUGGAAAAGGAAAAUGUGAACUUGAUGGAAAUGGUCUUGGACCCUUGGAUUCUGCCUUGGGGUUUUGGCAAACUAUUCCACAAUGGCUUUGGAUGGGAAGUCGUCACCUGGGCAUAUCCAACAAAACCACAGUAGGGAUUCCCAUCCAUGGAAGAGUGACAGGAACCCUGACCCCAUAAUGCACAGGUGCUCAGCAGGAAGCCUCAGGGUCACCUUACUAGGUACCCUAGGCCUCUCCAGUGAAUGGGGAAACAGGGUCUCCCACCGACACCCUAAAGCAGGCACCCUUAGUCAUGGAUACCAAGCUGAUGACCAGGCAAGGGUCCCAGCCUCUAGGGAAGUGGCUCUGCUCUCUUGGGGGGAGGGGAUUUACUCUCGUCAGACUGUAGGUGCUGAGGGGCAACCUGGUCUGAGGGCAUGCAACCCACAUGCUCAGGUUUCAAAUGAGCAUGGGUAAUAGUGCAAUAUGUUCUCUAGGAAAACAGCAGAGAGAAGAGAGCCUUGGAACCCCUAAAGAAAACUGCACCAUCAUAGUGGUCCUAGGGACUUCCUGUUCCUGCCCCGCCUCACUGUUCCCCAGGAAUGUUGACAGUCCCACCUCGCAAACCGCCCCCCCCAGGAAUGUUGACAGUGUGGGGGAGGGAUCUUCUCUCCCAUCCUGUUUGUUUCUAAAUAAAAGUAGUAAAGUUUUAAAGCUUUGUGAGAAGGGGGUGGCUGGGCAGGGCAGGAUGGCUGCGGGGUUAAGUUCAGUAACUCCUGAAGUGGUCAACAGAAACCAAGCAGGUCACCCUUCCCAGUACAGCAAGUACUGCCCAGUUCCGUUCCUCUGACUGUAAAGGCCAGUUUGCUGGCAGGAAGGGUCUUUCCCUCAGUGGUGUUCAGGCCUGUAUCAGUAGUAAGCUGAAUUGUGCAUCCAAGUUCUGGUACAAAAUUCUCUGGAAUGUGUCCAGGACAAACCUUUGAAGACUCUGAAUCAGGAAAACCAGUCACAGGACCUGGCUCUUCCUGGGGCCA